UUGUUAUGGACAGAUGAAUUAAAAUAAAAUGGCUAUUUACUAAUGUCUAUUUAUUCUCUGUUCACUAUGUUAAAACUGGCUUCUAGAGUAAAUGUUCCCUUCCCCCCCCCUACAAUGUGGUCAGCUGCUGUUUACUAUGUAAAUUCCUCACAUCCUGCUAGCCUCCCCUUUGUGCCAGUUAACAGCUAUAUGCCAUAUAUAGCUAAAUGGAGGAUCAUUGGUUUAGAACUGAUAGAUACCACUCACUCCCCCUUUCUCCGUGUAUCUAAAAGUGUGUAAUGAUGACACUACAUUCUGUAGGGGGGUUUAAACAAGAG